rnacentral:pre_miRNA from 9 species
GCGAAGAUUACUCGAAGUUAACUCAAAUUUGUACGGAGUUGAAACGCUUGCUUACGUUUGCCGCUAGAGGCGCUGUUCGAACUGCAUACAAAUUUGAGUUAACUUUUACGCUAUCGA